UGGUACACUCAGAGAGGGCAUGGAAACUCUGUGCCCUUUCCCUAUACCUUGCCCUAUGCAUCUCCUUCAUCUAGCUGUUCUUGAGUUCUAUACUUUUAUAAUAAGCUCGUGACCUAGUAAGUUCUUUGAGUUCUGAGAUCCCCUGUAGCAAAUUAAGAACCCAAGAAGGGAUCAUUGGAAUCUCUGAUCUGUAGCUGGUAGGUUGAAGCACAGGUAAUAUCCUUGUUUUGCAAAUGGCAUCUGAAGUGGAGUGGGUGGUGGGGGAGGGGCAGUAAUGUAGAACUGAACCCUUCUCCUUUGGAAUCUGACGCUAUCCAGGUAGAUCGUGUCAGGAUUGAGUUGAAUUGUAGGACAUGCAGCUGAUGUCUGGAGAAUUGCCUGUUGGUGUGGGAACCUCCCCACAACUAGACAGACAUACAUUGGGAUUUGGUGAUCAGGAUUACCUUUUACAGGCUAAGCAACUGGUCCAGGACUGCAUUUUCAAGAGAAACCCCAGAACUGACCACUACAGUUCCUUCUCCAGUGUCAGAGACAUCUCCAGAUAAAGAUGCACAGAAGAGUGCCACCUUGAAGGUGUCUGAUUUUUUGAUAGGACUACCUGAAGCAGACGAUGGCACAGUGUGCUAUAGACCGAGAAGGUGGUGUGAAGAUGUGCAAAGAAGAGGUGAAGAGGAGGAGGGGAUGUUAUUCAGUGUUAUUUCGGUUACCACUCCUCCCCAUUUAAAGGACUGUAACCAUGGCAACUGGACCCAACUAAAGAGGAGGCAAUGAUGGCUAGUGUUCUCCUUGCAAUAAACUACAGUUAUCCUUUUUUACAA